AUGUGGGUGUGGGUGGAGGCCAAGGCUGUGGCGGCGGUGUGGGAGGACGAGGGGGAGAGGGAGAUCGAUGGGUGUGAGGUGGGGGUCGGGCUAGGUUUAGAUAGGCAGGGGCCACAUGGGCCUUGGGAGCAGAUGGGCCAGGAGGUGCGGUGCUGGUGGGCUGAGGGGAGCUGGGCGGCCUGGCUGACCAAAAGAGAGAGAAGAAGGUGUUUUCUUUUCCAUAUUUCAGAAAAGAAGCGUGUCGGAAGGGUCUGGGCGGAUCAGUUGCUGUUGUAUGCCGGGAUGAAACAGGUGCUUAUUUAG
rnacentral:rRNA from 1 species